rnacentral:rRNA from 1 species
AGAGUUGAUCCUGGCUCAGGACGAACGCUGGCGGCGCGCCUAACACAUGCAAGUCGAACGAGAGAUGAGGAGCUUGCUCUUCAAAUCGAGUGGCGAACGGGUGAGUAACGCGUGAGGAACCUGCCUCAAAGAGGGGGACAACAGUCGGAAACGACUGCUAAUACCGCAUAAGCCCACGGCUCGGCAUCGAGCAGAGGGAAAAGGAGUGAUCCGCUUUGAGAUGGCCUCGCGUCCGAUUAGCUGGUUGGUGAGGUAACGGCCCACCAAGGCGACGAUCGGUAGCCGGACUGAGAGGUUGAACGGCCACAUUGGGACUGAGACACGGCCCAGACUCCUACGGGAGGCAGCAGUGGGGAAUAUUGCACAAUGGGGGAAACCCUGAUGCAGCGACGCCGCGUGGAGGAAGAAGGUCUUCGGAUUGUAAACUCCUGUUGUUGAGGAAGAUAAUGACGGUACUCAACAAGGAAGUGACGGCUAACUACGUGCCAGCAGCCGCGGUAAAACGUAGGUCACAAGCGUUGUCCGGAAUUACUGGGUGUAAAGGGAGCGCAGGCGGGAGAACAAGUUGGAAGUGAAAUCCAUGGGCUCAACCCAUGAACUGCUUUCAAAACUGUUUUUCUUGAGUAGUGCAGAGGUAGGCGGAAUUCCCGGUGUAGCGGUGGAAUGCGUAGAUAUCGGGAGGAACACCAGUGGCGAAGGCGGCCUACUGGGCACCAACUGACGCUGAGGCUCGAAAGUGUGGGUAGCAACAGGAUUAGAUACNCUGGUAGUCCACACCGUAAACGAUGAUUACUAGGUGUUGGAGGAUUGACCCCUUCAGUGUCGCAGUUAACACAAUAAGUAAUCCACCUGGGGAGUACGACCGCAAGGUUGAAACUCAAAGGAAUUGACGGGGGCCCGCACAAGCAGUGGAGUAUGUGGUUUAAUUCGACGCAACGCGAAGAACCUUACCAAGUCUUGACAUCCCUUGACGAACAUAGAAAUAUGUUUUCUCUUCGGAGCAAGGAGACAGGUGGUGCAUGGUUGUCGUCAGCUCGUGUCGUGAGAUGUUGGGUUAAGUCCCGCAACGAGCGCAACCCUUAUGGUCAGUUACUACGCAAGAGGACUCUGGCCAGACUGCCGUUGACAAAACGGAGGAAGGUGGGGAUGACGUCAAAUCAUCAUGCCCUUUAUGACUUGGGCUACACACGUACUACAAUGGCGUUAAACAAAGAGAAGCAAGACCGCGAGGUGGAGCAAAACUCAGAAACAACGUCCCAGUUCGGACUGCAGGCUGCAACUCGCCUGCACGAAGUCGGAAUUGCUAGUAAUCGUGGAUCAGCAUGCCACGGUGAAUACGUUCNCCGGGCCUUGUACACACCGCCCGUC